GGCGACGACGGGUAGCCGGCCUGAGAGGGUGACCGGCCACACUGGGACUGAGACACGGCCCAGACUCCUACGGGAGGCAGCAGUGGGGAAUAUUGCACAAUGGGCGAAAGCCUGAUGCAGCGACGCCGCGUGAGGGAUGACGGCCUUCGGGUUGUAAACCUCUUUCAGUAGGGAACAAGGCCAGACGUUGUCUGGUUGAGGGUACUUGCAGAAGAAGCGCCGGCUAACUACGUGCCAGCAGCCGCGGUAAUACGUGGGGCGCAAGCGUUAUCCGGAAUUAUUGGGCGUAAAGAGCUCGUAGGCGGUUUGUCGCGUCUGCCGUGAAAGUCCGGGGCUCAACCCCGGAUCUGCGGUGGGUACGGGCAGACUAGAGUGAUGUAGGGGAGACUGGAAUUCCUGGUGUAGCGGUGAAAUGCGCAGAUAUCAGGAGGAACACCGAUGGCGAAGGCAGGUCUCUGGGCAUUAACUGACGCUGAGGAGCGAAAGCAUGGGGAGCGAACAGGAUUAGAUACCCUGGUAGUCCAUGCCGUAAACGUUGGGCACUAGGUGUGGGGGACAUUCCAUGUUUUCCGCGCCGUAGCUAACGCAUUAAGUGCCCCGCCUGGGGAGUACGGCCGCAAGGCUAAAACUCAAAGGAAUUGACGGGGGCCCGCACAAGCGGCGGAGCAUGCGGAUUAAUUCGAUGCAACGCGAAGAACCUUACCAAGGCUUGACAUGAACUGGAAAUACCUGGAAACAGGUGCCCCGCUUGCGGUCGGUUUACAGGUGGUGCAUGGUUGUCGUCAGCUCGUGUCGUGAGAUGUUGGGUUAAGUCCCGCAACGAGCGCAACCCUCGUUCUAUGUUGCCAGCACGUUAUGGUGGGGACUCAUAGGAGACUGCCGGGGUCAACUCGGAGGAAGGUGAGGACGACGUCAAAUCAUCAUGCCCCUUAUGUCUUGGGCUUCACGCAUGCUACAAUGGCCGGUACAAUGGGUUGCGAUACUGUGAGGUGGAGCUAAUCCCAAAAAGCCGGUCUCAGUUCGGAUCGGGGUCUGCAACUCGACCCCAUGAAGUCGGAGUCGCUAGUAAUCGCAGAUCAGCAACGCUGCGGUGAAUACGUUCCCGGGCCUUGUACACACCGCCCGUCAAGUCACGAAAGUUGGUAACACCCGAAGCCGGU
rnacentral:rRNA from 1 species